GAUGAAUAGUAAAAUACUGCUAUUUCGUCUUUUUGUCGACUUUCAAAAUCUUACGUGCACGUCGUCGAAAAAUAUUCUUAGUUUUUCGAUACGAGUCCAAUAAUGAAAGUUUUUAUUUUUGGACGACGAGUGAAUAGUGAACUAGAUUUUCUCGAUAAACGAACCGAGCUCGUUUAUCAGAAUUUCGAGAACGAGCUUGUGUUUUCUAUAUUUAUAUAGAAUUACGAGUGCAAUGAAAGUGAGUAGAGGUUGAGAGGGCGAGUAACGAAGAGUAUGGGUAGUUAAUCGUUAAAACGAGACGAAACGAGAUAUUUAACGACUAACGGGUUAAUAUCCUAAAUAUCUAACCUACCCUACCCCUAACCACCCCCCCAACUGCCCACUAUCCCUCUAUCUCACCUAACUCACGCUGCACACACAACACACACACUAAUUUGUGCUGCACACACACUAAAACACAUUAGAAACACACACACACUUCACGUUAACACCAUUUCUUUGGUGUUCAAGCUUUUGACCUCCGAUUUGAGCACCGAGACGAGCGCCGAUCAUCUUUUCGAUCACGUAUCUAAGUAGGUCCUUUUGGGAAGUAACGACUUGAGGGAGAGAGUGACGUUACUCAUUGAUACAGAGACACAACGAGGUUGAGCUGAUGUGAUGAUGGUGCUGCAAUGAGCGGAGUCUCCAGGGUUGUUAAUAAAUAGUUAACCUGUCUAGAAUAUGUCUUCAUACAUAUGUCUAGCUACUUUCCGCUGCAAGAUGUUGUUGAUGUUAUAGUAUGUUAUGUCAUACUUUGAGUCUUAAGAGAAUGGUUUCAUAUGAUGUAUAACUUGAUUAAUGAUAUUAAUUAACUUUUAUGCAGUCUUUCAUAGACUGUUUUCAAUUGAGUAUUAAUGAAUAAAAAUGACGAGUUUUAUUAA